rnacentral:rRNA from 1 species
CCUACGGGAGGCAGCAGUGGGGAAUUUUGGACAAUGGGCGAAAGCCUGAUCCAGCAAUGCCGCGUGCGGGAAGAAGGCCUUCGGGUUGUAAACCGCUUUUGUACGGAACGAAACGGUCUGCCCUAAUACGGUGGGCCCAUGACGGUACCGUAAGAAUAAGCACCGGCUAACUACGUGCCAGCAGCCGCGGUAAU